rnacentral:rRNA from 1 species
CACGGGGAGGUAGUGACGAAAAAUAACAAUACGGGACUCAUCCGAGGCCCCGUAAUUGGAAUGAGUACACUUCAAAUCCUUUAACAAGGAUCCAUUGGAGGGCAAGUCUGGUGCCAGCAGCCGCGGUAAUUCCAGCUCCAAUAGCGUAUAUUAAAGUUGCUGCGGUUAAAAAGCUCGUAGUUGGAUCUCAGUUACGGACGGGUGGUUCACCUCACGGUGCUACUGCCCGGACCGGACCUAUAGCUGGUUCCUCUGGAGUGCCCUUCGCUGGGUGCUUCAGGAGACCAGAGCGUUUACUUUGAAAAAAUUGGAGUGCUCAAAGCAGGCGAUUGCCUGAACAGUCGUGCAUGGAAUAAUGGAAAAGGGUCUCGGUACCAUUUUGUUGGUUCUCGGUACUCGAGGUAAUGGUUAAAAGGGAUACUUGGGGGCAUCAGUAUUGCGACGUUAGAGGUGAAAUUCUUAGAUCGUCGCAAGACUAACUACUGCGAAAGCAUUUGCCAAGAAUGUCUUCAUUAAUCAAGAACGAAAGUCAGAGGUUCGAAGGCGAUCAGAUACCGCCCUAGUUCUGACCUUAAACGAUGCCAACUGGCGAUCUGUCAGGGGUAAUUCAAUGACCCGACAGGCAGCUUCCGGGAAAGCAAAGUUUUUGGGUUCCGGGGGAAGUAUGGUUGCAAAGCUGGAACUUAAAGGAAUUGACGGAAGGGCACCACCAGGAGUGGAGCCUGUGGCUUAAUUUGACUCAACACGGGAAACCUCACCAGGCCCGGACACUAGAAGGAUUGACAGAUUGAGAGCUCUUUCUUGAUUUGGUGGGUGGUGGUGCAUGGCCGUUCUUAGUUGGUGGAGUGAUUUGUCUGGUUAAUUCCGAUAACGAACGAGACUCUGGCCUACUAAAUAGGCGGUGGAUCUUUGAGUCCACUAUGUCUUCUUAGAGGGACAAGGCAGCUCUAAGCUGCGUGAAAUGGGGCAAUAACAGGUCUGUGAUGCCCUUAGAUGUUCUGGGCCGCACACGCGCUACACUGAAGGAGGCAACGUGUAUGUCUGGCUCGAAAGAGUUGGGUAACCCGUUUAAUCUCCUUCGUGCUGGGGAUUGAGGUUUGCAAUUAUCCUUCAUGAACGAGGAAUUCCCAGUAAGUGCAAGUCAUAAGCUUGCGCUGACUACGUCCCUGCCCUUUGUACACACCGCCCGUCGCUACUACCGAUUGAAUGAUUUAGUGAGGCCUUCGGACUGGAGCCAAUGCGACUUUCGGGCUGCGUCGGUCCUCUGGAAAGAUGUCCAAAC